GUGCUUGCUUUGGCAGCACAUAUACUAAAAUCGGAACAAUACAGAAAAGAUUAGCAUGGCCCCUGUGUGAGGAUGACACGCAAAUUAAUGAAGCAUUCCAUAUUUUU